rnacentral:rRNA from 1 species
AGUGAACGCUGGCGGUAGGCCUAACACAUGCAAGUCGAACGGCAGCACAGGAGAGCUUGCCCUCUGGGUGGCGAGUGGCGGACGGGUGAGGAAUACAUCGGAAUCUACUUUUUCGUGGGGGAUAACGUAGGGAAACUUACGCUAAUACCGCAUACGACCUACGGGUGAAAGCAGGGGACCUUCGGGCCUUGCGCGAUUGAAUGAGCCGAUGUCGGAUUAGCUAGUUGGCGGGGUAAAGGCCCACCAAGGCGACGAUCCGUAGCUGGUCUGAGAGGAUGAUCAGCCACACUGGAACGGAGACACGGGCCAGACGCCUACGGGAGGCAGCAGUGGGGAAUAUUGGACAAUGGGCGCAAGCCUGAUCCAGCCAUACCGCGUGGGUGAAGAAGGCCUUCGGGUUGUAAAGCCCUUUUGUUGGGAAAGAAAUCCAGCUGGCUAAUACCCGGUUGGGAUGACGGUACCCAAAGAAUAAGCACCGGCUAACUUCGUGCCAGCCGCCGCAGUAA